rnacentral:rRNA from 1 species
UACGAAGGGGGCUAGCGUUGCUCGGAAUCACUGGGCGUAAAGGGUGCGUAGGCGGGUUCUUAAGUUAGAGGUGAAAGCCUGGAGCUCAACUCCAGAACUGCCUUUAAUACUGGGAAUCUUGAGUUCGGAAGAGGUGAGUGGAACUGCGAGUGUAGAGGUGAAAUUCGUAGAUAUUCGCAAGAACACCAGUGGCGAAGGCGGCUCACUGGCCCGGUACUGACGCUGAGGUGCGAAAGCGUGGGGAGCAAACAGG